rnacentral:rRNA from 1 species
UGCAAGUCGAACGGCAGCAUGAUCUAGCUUGCUAGAUUGAUGGCGAGUGGCGAACGGGUGAGUAAUACAUCGGAACGUGCCCUGUAGUGGGGGAUAACUAGUCGAAAGAUUAGCUAAUACCGCAUACGACCUGAGGGUGAAAGUGGGGGACCGCAAGGCCUCAUGCUAUAGGAGCGGCCGAUGUCUGAUUAGCUAGUCGGUGAGGUAAAGGCUCACCAAGGCGACGAUCAGUAGCUGGUCUGAGAGGACGAUCAGCCACACUGGGACUGAGACACGGCCCAGACUCCUACGGGAGGCAGCAGUGGGGAAUUUUGGACAAUGGGCGAAAGCCUGAUCCAGCAAUGCCGCGUGUGUGAAGAAGGCCUUCGGGUUGUAAAGCACUUUUGUCCGGAAAGAAAUGGCUCUGGUUAAUACCUGGGGUCGAUGACGGUACCGGAAGAAUAAGGACCGGCUAACUACGUGCCAGCAGCCGCGGUAAUACGUAGGGUCCAAGCGUUAAUCGGAAUUACUGGGCGUAAAGCGUGCGCAGGCGGUUGUGCAAGACCGAUGUGAAAUCCCCGAGCUUAACUUGGGAAUUGCAUUGGUGACUGCACGGCUAGAGUGUGUCAGAGGGGGGUAGAAUUCCACGUGUAGCAGUGAAAUGCGUAGAGAUGUGGAGGAAUACCGAUGGCGAAGGCAGCCCCCUGGGAUAACACUGACGCUCAUGCACGA